rnacentral:rRNA from 1 species
GAUGAACGCUGGCGGCGUGCUUAACACAUGCAAGUCGAACGGAAAGGCCCAAUCUUGCUUGGGUGCUCGAGUGGCGAACGGGUGAGUAACACGUGGGUGAUCUGCCCUGCACUUCAGGCUACGCCUUGGAAACUGGGUCUAAUACCGGAUAGGACGAUGGUUUGGAUGCCCUUGUGGAAAGUUUUUUCGGUGUGGGAUGAGCUCGCGGCCUAUCAGCUUGUUGGUGGUGUAAUGGCCUACCAAGGCGUCGACGGGUAGCCGGCCUGAGAGGGGGUACGGCCACAUUGGGACUGAGAUACGGCCCAGACUCCUACGGGAGGCAGCAGGGGGGAAUAUUGCAUAAUGGGCGAUAGGCUGAAGCAUGGAGGCGGCGUGGGGGAUGACGGCCUUGGGGUUGUAAACUCCAUUCCCUAGGGAGGAGGCGUGUUUGUGACGGUACCUGAAGAAGAAGCACCGGCUAACUACGUG